CAUAAUUUCCUAUUCAUUUAUGUAUUAAUUUUUCCUUAUGAUGUUUAUUACCACAUAUACCUUCUACAAUGCUUGGUUCCAUAUUGGUCCAGUCAGAUUUAUUUUCCUACACACACCUUGGAUGUUAAUAUAAUUUAAUGUCACUUUAUUACCCCAUUACUCAGUCUACCCCUGAUAAAAGGUUUUUACUAAUACUACCCUCUUGGUCCCUGUUUAUCAACCCUAUCACGUACACCUUAAGUGUUGUUCACCCCUUUUACAAUAUUGUAUACACCAAUAUUUGUUCACCCAUUUUAUCAUUAAGAAUUUAUUACUAUCAUCAUUAUUAUUAUUAUUUUUAGAUGUUCACAAUCGCACUUUUCUCAUACUGGAAUUCACCACUGGGGAGUACCCGCUUUUGCCGCUCCAUACUUUACCAUACUACCUCGGGCAUUGCCGCCUCAGCUCCCGGGGCUGAUGACCCCAUACCCGACCCUCGGCCCUCUAUGCACACUAUCGGACAUGUUGUGGUUUUGCAGAUUAUUACUUACCCUUCCGCUCCUGAUGAGUGGCGUUAGCCACGAAACGCGUAGAGCUACCAGAUAUCGAUUCUACCUAGAAUACCAUUUCUACAUAUACUAAGCAUACUGGAAUAUACCAAUGAACUACAAGUUUACAAAAAUACCCCCCUUUUUUACCUGGAGACCCAUGCCGAUUGACCUGGUUCGAAUACUGUCUGCAAUACGAAUCCAUAUGUUACGAUGCUACGCUUUUAUUACUAUGUUAUCAAGUUGUUUGAAAUUUAUCAUAUAUUUGAUUACUGGCUACGCAUCUGAUUACUAUGUAACUUAUGUGGCCCAAUGUAACCAUGUAUGACCUACCAGAUAUCACCUGUCAUGUUUUUUCUCCCUGAGCUUAUUAUUUUUUGCUCACCUAAUAUUAUUGUACCAUCUUACUAUUAUUGGGACCAUUGGUGUUUACCAAUGAAUCCCAAUUUUAUAAAGUUUUUUCUAAAAUGGAGUGACACGUCAGUUAGUCUGGAUAUUAAUAAUACUUUUACCUACAUUAUGAACCUUUAUGUUGCCAAGCCAUAUCAAUUAUAUGCUAUUAUUAUACCUAUAAUGUACUAUAUUUUACUGUAAUUAUUGUGCUGACAUGCUAUCUGUGUUGUUCUUGGUGUCAAUGAGCCCACAUGGUACCAUGUUACGUCAUUAUUAUGCUAUUCACUUAUGUGCAAUAAAUUGUAUUAUUGAUUUUUUA